rnacentral:rRNA from 1 species
CCUACGGGAGGCAGCAGUGAGGAAUAUUGGUCAAUGGGCGCGAGCCUGAACCAGCCAAGUAGCGUGAAGGAUGACUGCCCUACGGGUUGUAAACUUCUUUUAUAAAGGAAUACAGUGAGGCACGUGUGCCUUUUUGUAUGUACUUUAUGACUAAGGCUCGGCUAACUCCGUGCCAGCAGCCGGUGUAAUACGGAGGAUCCGAGCGUUAUCCGGAUUGAUUGGGUUUAAAGGGAGCGUAGAUGGGUUGUUAAGUCAGUUGUAAAAGUUUUCGGCUCAACCGUAAAAUUGCAAUUGCUACAGGCAGCCUUGAGGACAGUUGAGGUAGGCGGAAUUCGUGGUGUAGCGGUGAAAUGCUUAGAUAUCACGAAGAACUCCGAUUGCGAAGGCAGCUUACUAAACUGCCACUGACAUUGAUGCUCGAAAGUGUGGGUAUCAAACAGGAUUAGAUACCCUAGUAGUC